CCCAGUGGUUCAAUUGCCGGC
rnacentral:siRNA from 1 species